rnacentral:misc_RNA from 1 species
GAUGAAGAACGCAGCGAAAUGCGAUAAGUAAUGUGAAUUGCAGAAUUCAGUGAAUCAUCGAAUCUUUGAACGCACAUUGCGCCCGCCAGUAUUCUGGCGGGCAUGCCUGUUCGAGCGUCAUUUCAACCAUCAAGCCCCCGGCUUGUGUUGGGGACCUGCGGCUGCCGCAGGCCCUGAAAACCAGUGGCGGGCUCGCUAGUCACUCCGAGCGUAGUAAUACAUCUCGCUCAGGGCGUGCUGCGGGUUCCGGCCGUUAAAAAAGCCUUAUUUACCCAAGGUUGACCUCGGAUCAGGUAGGAAGACCCGCUGAACUUAAGCAUAUCAAUAAGCGGAGGA